GAGUGCGAUCAUACCAUUACUAAAGCAUCGGAUCCCAUCGGAACUCCGAAGCUAAGCGUGCUUGUGCGUGAGUUGUACCAGGGUAGGUGACCCCCUGGGAAGUCCUCGUGUUGCACUUG
rnacentral:rRNA from 15 species